rnacentral:tRNA from 1 species
ACCUGGAAGGCUCAGUUGGUGGAGCAUGAGACUCUUGAUCUUGGGCUUGUGGGUUCGAGCCCUACAUUGGGUG